rnacentral:tRNA from 1 species
UCUAAUAUGGCAGAUAAGUGCAAUGGAUUUAAGCUCCAAUUAUAAAGUAUUGAACUUUUUUUAGAA